CAGAACCUCUUAAAAACUUCUUGAAACGGCUACAAACGGCUAUAGACGUCUUGGUCUAUGAUAAGACUGAAAAUAGAAUUUCUUCUAAACAUAACCUCAGCACUUGGAAUAUGCUAGUAUAUAUUCUAUCUGCGGCAAAACCCACUACUGGUGUCACUAGAGUCUGUUUUGGUAAACGCAUUCAGAAUGUCUAACUCAAGAACUUUUCUAGAUCUUUUUGUCUAAAAGUGCAUAAAAUGCCAAACGGCGUGUUAAAAGUGCGGUUACCGUUGGCCGUCGGCGUUAGCGAAUAAAAGACGCCACAGACAAAUCGAACUCGUUGGAAGCAACAUAAGUUAAUUGGCUUUGAUAUUAAAUAAUUUCACACCAGAACUUCAACAAUCAAGGGCGUGUUAUUGUUUUCCAUACGGGGCGCGCACACGACGCCUGGAAGCCAUUCUAUGCUCGCGCAGCAGGUAUACUGACAGCAGCAGGAGCGAAACGCCGGCGUUGCACAGCGGUGUCACAGAGCCACCGCGCUGCGAUCACUUCGGCGACACAAUCCAAAUUUGUCGGACAUCUCGUUCUGUGCUGGGAACACUGGGAGGCAGGAAGUUUGAAAAAACGGUCACUGCCGCCCGCAAUGUCUCGGUCGUGGGCUGGUCGUGGGUUCGUUAUGCCAGUUGUGCGUCAUUCUAAGCCGUUCUGUACAUUUAUACUGGAUAUUAAUUGGAGUCAUUUAGCUGUGCUGAUGCUGUUUGCCGUGUGUUUUGCAUCAGUCCUUCGUGACAUCGGCUGUAUUGCGUGUUUUCGCCGACGGCUUACUACCACAAUGGCGGGAUCUGCGUUCGCCGCCUUCGUGUCUCGGUGCGUCUUUGUACGUCGCACGUUCGGAUAACACUUUUUCCGACAGCUGGACAUCCUUCUUGUACCUUGGCGCUAGCUGGAUGACGGGACAUCAUGAUCAGUGUAUUGCUUGCCUAUGUCUACAAGAACCGUCACGCGUGGCCUGUGACAGCAAGUUUUUGUGGGCAGCAAGUGCUCUCCUACGAAGGCUGGCCUACUCUGGCAGCUGCGGCAAUCAUCUUCAAGAUUUAUCCAUAAUCACCUUUGCUGCUUUUUGUCACUCUUGUUGAUUACACUUUCUGCGUCUUUUCUAAUUUAUUAGGUAAUAAAGUAUGAGUGUGUGACAUGGUGUGAAGUUGAUGUCUUGCUGCAUUUUCGCUUGCACUCAUCUUUUAUGCAUGAAAAGCUCAUCGUACAGUUUAUGAAAAAAAAAAUAACAGCAUAUUAUGAUUUAUCUUUCAGUUCUGGUAACAUGCAACGUACAAGGAAUUCACUAAUGGAUGAUAUGCCGAAGAACUGGCCAUUAUUUCUGCGUGAUGCUGUGCAAGCAUGUGGCGUUACUUACAAGAGGCACCCACAAAGUAAGUUACAAUUUACUUUUAAAUGAAGCAUGGACAUCAGAUAAAAUAUAUUUAUAUUGCUAGUUAGAGUGGUUCGCAGAGUGUUUUUCCAGAUGUGUACAAUCCUUUAUUUCUUAACUCAUUGCAGCACAGUGUUCUGUUUCGUAUACUGGUGUAAUGCUAUUGUGCCCCCUGUAGCUGAAACCAGGAUGUAAUUUUUGCCUGAACUGCAGCAUCACUGACAAUUUUUCUUUGCUAGAGGCUAUUUCAAUUUGGUGGAACCCAGCAGGGCGAAGUUUUGUCAAUAAUGACAUGUUUCAUGCAGAGAUGUUCUUGUUUAGGUCAAUGGGUGAACAUUGGAAUGAUAUCAUCAUACAAUACAGAUUUUGUUUCAUUUGCAAAAUAAUUCUGACAGGCGGCAUUCAAUUGAUUGGUCUAAUUAAAAAGCACUAAUUGACCAAUGAGGUCUUACUACACUAUUCCCAUGGUUCACAUCUGGAAAAACUACCUGUGCAUCACUCUAUCCGACAAUAUAAACUUUUUUUUUUCUGAUGUCCAUGCCUCGUUUAAAAUAAAUUGUAACUGUGGGAAAACGUCGUGUUACUGUAACAGCUGCCGCAAAAAUUUGAGGGAAUGUCUAAUAAAUGUCUUCAGUUGUUCUUGUCAAGCUGUCCAUUAGCCAACUUUUAGCGUAACGUUAGCAGGGCUUACUGAAGUACUUCUAGACGUCCAUGGCUACAAAAUGUCUUGAUCAAGACAGCUACUAGGCUUUUGAAUUAGCCGUUCAAGACAUCUUUUAGACAUCAAAUAGCUGCUUGCGUGUUU